GUGCCAGCAGCCGCGGCAAUACGUAGGGUGCGAGCGUUAAUCGGAAUUACUGGGCGUAAAGCGUGCGCAGGCGGUUAUGUAAGACAGAUGUGAAAUCCCCGGGCUCAACCUGGGAACUGCAUUUGUGACUGCAUGGCUAGAGUACGGUAGAGGGGGGCCCGCACAAGCGGU
rnacentral:rRNA from 1 species